GGUUGUAUCUCUGGUGUCCUACUUUUGAGAUGAUAUACCCCAUUUUACAACUACGCAUGCUUCCCAAGUGUCCCUAUUUUGGAUGGAAAGUCCUUAUUUUGUGUCCCUAUUUUUAUAUCCUAUUCCCUCUGCUCUCUCUUUUCUAUCCUAAUGUCCCUCUUUUAGAAGAGUUCCAUAUUGUUGGGGUGUCUGAGAGUAUAAC